CAUGGCUUUUUGAUUAUAAUUUAAGGUCAGGCCUGCCCUAUGAAAUGUAAUUUUAAAUGGCUGCAGUAGACUGACUGUGCAAAGGUAGCAUAAUAAUUAGUUUUUUAAUUGGGAACUGGUAUGAAUGGUCUAACGAGAAAAAGACUGUCUCAAUUUAAUUUAAAUUAGAAUUUUAUCUUUAAGUAAAAAAGCUUAAAUGCCCUUAAAAGACGAGAAGACCCUAUAGAGUUUUAUAAAAUUUUAUAAUUUUAAAAGUUAAAGUAUUUUAGAUUUAAUUUUAUAAAAUUUUAUUUGGUUGGGGAGAUUAAAAAAUUAAAAGAACUUUUUUUAUUUUAUACCAUUGAUAUAUGAAUAAGUGAUCCAUAAUUUAUGAUUAUAAGAUUAAAUUACCUUAGGGAUAACAGCGUAAUUUUUUUUAGAGUUCUUAUCGAAGAAAAAGUUUGCGACC
rnacentral:rRNA from 1 species